rnacentral:rRNA from 2 species
CCCGUCACACCAUGGGAGUGGGCUGCAAAAGAAGUAGGUAGUUUAACCUUCGGGAGAACGCUUACCACUUUGUGGUUCAUGACUGGGGUGAAGUCGUAACAAGGUAGCCCUAGGGGAACCUGGGGCUGGAUCACCUCCUUAUACGA